AGGACGAACGCUGGCGGCGUGCCUAAUACAUGCAAGUCGAACGCUUUUUCUUUCACCGGAGCUUGCUCCACCGAAAGAAAAGGAGUGGCGAACGGGUGAGUAACACGUGGGUAACCUGCCCAUCAGAAGGGGAUAACACUUGGAAACAGGUGCUAAUACCGUAUAACAAUCGAAACCGCAUGGUUUCGGUUUGAAAGGCGCUUUUGCGUCACUGAUGGAUGGACCCGCGGUGCAUUAGCUAGUUGGUGAGGUAACGGCUCACCAAGGCAACGAUGCAUAGCCGACCUGAGAGGGUGAUCGGCCACAUUGGGACUGAGACACGGCCCAAACUCCUACGGGAGGCAGCAGUAGGGAAUCUUCGGCAAUGGACGGAAGUCUGACCGAGCAACGCCGCGUGAGUGAAGAAGGUUUUCGGAUCGUAAAACUCUGUUGUUAGAGAAGAACAAGGAUGAGAGUAGAAUGUUCAUCCCUUGACGGUAUCUAACCAGAAAGCCACGGCUAACUACGUGCCAGCAGCCGCGGUAAUACGUAGGUGGCAAGCGUUGUCCGGAUUUAUUGGGCGUAAAGCGAGCGCAGGCGGUUUCUUAAGUCUGAUGUGAAAGCCCCCGGCUCAACCGGGGAGGGUCAUUGGAAACUGGGAAACUUGAGUGCAGAAGAGGAGAGUGGAAUUCCAUGUGUAGCGGUGAAAUGCGUAGAUAUAUGGAGGAACACCAGUGGCGAAGGCGGCUCUCUGGUCUGUAACUGACGCUGAGGCUCGAAAGCGUGGGGAG
rnacentral:rRNA from 1 species